rnacentral:snoRNA from 1 species
AAUCUAUGAUGUGGGCAUUUGUAAAUCAGCGUCUUAAAAUGCUCCCAAGCGUCGUGGAAACUUUCUCUUUCUAAUUGCUAAAACGUAGCAAUCUCUCUCCUUAGCU